GAAGGGGAACAGAUGGUCGCUCCUCCUGAGAUCACGUGAAGCGGAGAUCAGGAGGGGAGGAAAGUCCGAGCUCCACAGGGCAGGGUGGUCCGUAACGCGGACUGUCCCCGAAAUCUGCAACGCAGAGUUCGGGAAUAAGGAAAGUGCCACAGAAAAUAUACCGUCCUGUGGAAUGGCGACACAUUCCAUUCCACAGGGUAAGGGUGAAAAGGUGAGGUAAGAGCUCACCAGUACCCUGAGCGAUUGGGGUAGCUUGGUAAACCCCACCCGGAGCAAGACCAAAUAGGCCCCGUUCCCGCAAGGGAAAGAAGAGCCCAUUCGAAUUUCCCUC
rnacentral:ncRNA from 2 species